AUCAUCCAGCACUCACUCACACAUCAUCCAGCACUCACACACACAUCAUCCAGCACUCACACACCCAUCAUCCAGCACUCACACACACACCCAUCAUCCAGCACACACACACCCAUCAUCCAUCACUCACACACCCAUCAUCCAGCACACACACACACACCCAUCAUCCAUCACUCACACACCCAUCAUCCAGCACUCACACACAUCAUCCAGCACACACACAUCAUCCAGCACUCACACACCCAUCAUCCAGCACUCACACACCCAUCAUCCAGCACUCACACACACA